rnacentral:lncRNA from 1 species
UUCCUCUCCAACGUACACGGCAAGAUAGCCCUUUGGCACAUUUGUGACUUUCGAUGAUGUUUGGCUACUGCUAAAUGAAGCCCUUCUUAUAGCUGCAGGUAAACGGAAGCCCAUUUUAAAUGUUUCAAAGAACAAGAUAAAGCUCUCAAAUUUAAUAAAAUAGUAUUUAUCUUUUGAUGUCUAGCUAUGCUAAUGACUUAUGAUUUCUGUGAGGGAAAGUAGUGUAUUUAUAUAUACUUCAACAGUUUCUUGAAAUCCAAUUCUUUGAGAAGUUAUUGUUAAAGGAUGGGGUCCAUGAGAUGAGGGAUCACAUGGUAUUGUCUUAGAUGUGUCUCUAUAACAAGGAUCGAUAAGUUCAAUAUGAGUGUAUAUAUAAUACGUCCCACCGUCUGAAUGAAAGGCCAGUAGAUUACCCGAUUGGAAUUCAAAUGAGAUGGCUAUGUUAAACUUAAUGCUUGAGUUAUGCAUAUCCAUAUUUUUUUAGACAUGCAUUAGACACGCCACAUGUUCUCUUCACAUAGCUCAAUCUUGAGAAAUAGAAACAAAAUAUUCUCUUAGUGAUGAAUUUUAAGUCAAAUAAUAGCUACAAAUUAUAAAUAUCAGGAGACAAUAGAGAACCUGUAGCAUGGGCUUGGUCAGUAGUCACGGCGACCAGAAGAUAGUUGUACAUGUUUGAAUCCACAAGUAGCAUAAAUACUUUAUUCAAAGUUGAAUUUUUUUAAUUUCAACAGUCCUAUAUAUUUAUUUGAAAUAAUUGUAGCGUGUGUUUGGUUCUGCGGCGGAGAGAAUUGAUUUAAUACCAGGUAAGCGAAAACCCAUUUUUGUUAUUGUUUCUUCCUAACAGACGGAUCUCAAAGAAG